rnacentral:rRNA from 1 species
GACGAACGCUGGCGGCGUGCCUAAUACAUGCAAGUAGAACGCUGAAGUGAGGAGCUUGCUCUUCUUGCAUGAGUUGCGAACGGGUGAGUAACGCGUAGGUAACCUGCCUUUUAACGGGGGAUAACUUUUGGAAACGAUAGCUAAUACCGCAUAACAUUGGAUACCACAUGGCAUUUAUUUGAAAGAGGCAAUUGCUCUACUACAAGAUGGACUUCCGUGGUAUUAGCUAGUAGGUAAGGUAACGGCUCACCAAGGCAACGAUGCGUAGCCGACCUGAGAGGGGGACGGCCAACAUGGGACUGAAGAAACGGCCAAGCCUCCUCGGGGAGGAGGAGUAAGGGAUCCUCCGGAAUGGGGGGAAAGCCGAACGGGGAAAGCCGGGUGGAUGAAGGAGGUUUUCGGGACCGAAAGAUCUGGUGAAUGGGGAGGAAGAGAGUUGUAGGGGAAAAUUCACGUUGUGACGGUAGCUUAUCAGAAAGCGACGGCUAACUACGUG